CAGUAAACGGAGCCCUCAAGUCUGUUUUGCCACCUCCGGUGUCCCCGCCCUGUCUGGAGUCUGCACUUCCAGCUCUUCCCUGUGGUCAGCUCUUCUCCAGGUACUCAGAACCCAGAGAUAGCAGGACUUGAGACCCAUCACCACCCUGCAGGGUCAGCGGCGCCCCUUCUUCAGUGGAGAAUUGAAGUUCAUGCAGCACCUUACUUAGGAGCAAGGGGCUCCGUGCCAUCCUUUGAAUGGAAGAGAUUGGACAUCAUUUCCUGAACAGAAUCGCCUUGGGAUAUUCCCUCUUGCCCAUUCCCUGCUGUAACUUUGUCUCAAAGAGCCCCCCAAGUUCACUUAGGUGGUUUUGAAAAAAAAGAUGCGCAGGGCCUUGUGUUUGCCAACCAGCUUUUGGAUCAGAACAUAUUUCGGGUUCUGUGCUUUUAUUGAAAACUGGAUGGUAGCGAGUGAAAGACUCAGCUAGAGAAAGAAGAGGAACUAGAAGCCCGGAGAUCCUGCCGAUGUAGGUUUCUUUCUUUUUUCUUUUUUUCUGUACAGUAGAAGUUGUGCUGUAGUUCCUAUGACAAUUUACUGUGACCUUAAGACAGGGAUCCCCCUGGCUAUUGCACAGCUGGGCCCACUAAACAUAGUAUAUAUAAUCAGUGAUGAAGUCAGAGACCAGUCACAAGACACUGCUUAGAAUCCAUUUGCUGGAAGUGUGUCUUGCCUCGACUGGAGAGCAGGAAACCUUUGCUAACGGAAAAACGGAAAGUAAACUUUUGCCAGGACGGUUUCUUGCCUUAUUUUAAUCCCCGACUCUUCUUUAUACUCCAGGCACAAGUUCAGGAAAGCUUUACUGAGAUUAUUCCGCUUCCCAAGUAUUGGAAAGGCUGGAUGCCUGCGGGUUCCUCGUCCAAACUCCUCGCGAAAUCUCUGUGGAAAGAGACAGAAAAGUACAAGUGAUGCUACGUAGAGAUGGCGCUAGGACCCUUUGCAGGAGGGACGCGCGCCACUCCCCAGAUGUCUCCUCAAGAGCAUCUUCUCUCAAGGGUAGAUCGAGUGGUCACCAGUUGAGUUGGAAGCUGGCUGACUGAUCGUGAGAAAAUAUAGUAUUGGGGAGCUUGGAGGGGGGUGUUGAAAGUAGUGGAAGGGAAGAGGAUUUUGAGCAACAGAAGAAACUUAAGUUGGUAGGAGCUGAAGCAACGCUAUUCUAUUCUUUGUCUGAGUAGCAACGCCGCCAAGGCAAGCUUUAAGCAGCAGCCAUGCGGAAUGCAGGACCGAACAUCAGUCUGGAAGCAUGGGUGCAGUCUGAGUUUCUUGAGUGAGUCAGCUUUGGCUCCUCUGUGGGAGAACCGGGCAGAAUCACUUCUCGAGCUUCUUGUUGGGUUCGGGGAUGAUGGAUCCCUUGACACUACCUCCCGGAGUGAGUUACCGCACGCUGUACGCUCUGCAGCUCGAGGAAGAGCACUGCUGUCUGAGUUCAGCGCCGCUUUCCUUCCUGUGCCCUGGGAGACUAGCCUGGGAAGCCGAGGUGAAGGAGGAGUGAAUGCGGAGAAAUGCUAAGCAAUGAAGAAUUAAGAAUACAAUUUACUCGGGUUUGAUAUGCUAGGAUGUGUUUUGGACAUGGACAUUUCCGCAGCGGUUCAAGUAUGGACUAUUAAGCUGGUUUUGAACUUGGUGCUAUCUAAGCAUUUUCUCCUGGUCAUAAGGUUUGGUGCUUUUCUGAGCUGUAAUUGUUCUUUCUUUAAUAAGCGACUGUUGUGGAUACUGAAGCUGGGCUGAGGAUUUUAAUGAACCAUUUCCAACAGAUGCAAUACUUUCAUUGUAUAGGCAUUUCAAUUAACAAAAUUGGGUGUGUAUUACAAAGAUCAAAUGAACCUCUUGGUCAAAGAAAAUUUCAGUAGUUAAGCAGAUUCCUCUCAGGAAAGGUUCUGGACUGGGAUGUUCUUCCUGGCUGCUGUUGAAAUGCAAACUGCUACUAAUGCCUCUUUUAAAAAACUAAAGUGAGUCAUUUACAUAUACACAAAGUGGUUUGUUCCAAAGGUGCCUCAUAGUGGCUGAGACUUCAAGGAAAGGAGUCUGAGUCUGAGGUUUCAGGAUUGUGAGAACUGAUAAUCAAGACCACAGUAUUCUUGACAAACGUUUCAGCACCUGCAAGCAACUUGAAAAACUACAUCUUUACUACCUGCCUUCAGUAAACAGUCACCCCCUCCUGGGAAAAUAAAACUUCUGCUAUAUCCUGGGUUUUUGAAAAAAAAAAAAAAGCACACCUGUUGUUCUCUAUGCACAAUGAAAGAAAAUAAAAGCUUCACUUUUUUGCUUCCCCAUUUCACUUCAGUGAGAAAAAGAACAAGAAAAGCCAACCUCUGGUUUAGGAGACUUACACCAUUCCCUACACAAAAUGUUAAACAUAUAAACACCUAUCUACAGAAUUGAGAAAAAGAGUUGAAACUCAAAAGCAUGGUCAGAUUUGACAGCUUUCAACUUCAGAUUGUAACGACUGCAGCCAUCCAGGGUGUUUCUUCACAUUCUUUGAAAAGUGAAAGUGGUCUUCUGCAUAGAUGGUGUCUUUCCUUUAACAGAGCCUGACUUGUCAUUAAGAUUAUUGUAAUUUCAUAAGUGUUUAUUCCCCCAGGAGCAAAGUGUUUAUCCUGGUUAUUUAUAGCUUUGUUAUAGAUUAAAGUACUAACGUAACUUUCCUACAGCGUGGUGUAAAGGAAAGCAAGGAUGGUGACCUGUGUUCCUUGAUGCCUAAAAACAGGAGUGCCCCUCUCCUCAUCUCAACACUCUCAUCGAUGGCCUCUGAAAGACUCUACUGAUUGAGAUUUCAUUGAUGUCUGUGAUGAAAACAAAUGAAGGGCACAAAUGUCAAGCACCUUAAAUCUGGGAGCCAUUGACAAGAAGAACAGCCAGAAAAAUCAAGAGGGAAAGUGAUUUGAUGAGCGUACAAACUCUAUUUUCUUUAGCAUGUAACUUGUUAGAGUUAUCAGAACUUGGCAGGAUAUAUAUAUAACCCUCAACACAAUGAGUUAAUCAGCUGAAGAAUAGAAGAAGAACGAGAGAGUUCAGAGGAGUUUGAACGGUAUAAGCAAGAGCACCGUAUGACAUUAGAAUCCACCAGAAACCAAGCCAUUUGCAUUUCCUGACAUGUGACUGCCACAGCCAUUUGGUGAUUGACUUGAUGGACAGCAGUUAUAUCAUCCAGCUCCCAAAGAACAUGCAGUGUCAAUGUCACUGUUCUGACAAACAGAACAAAAUUUUUCCUUUUCUGAAGAAAAAUUGAGAAGUGUAUGUGUGUAUGGCUCUCACAUCAUCAAAUAUAGCUAAUAACACUCAAGAGGCAAAACAGGAAGAUCUCUGUGAUUUUUGAAGCCAGAGUUUUCUGCAGAACAAGUUCCAGGGCAGCCAAGUCCACACAAAAACCCUGUUUCAGAAGAAAAAAAAAAAAGAAGAAGAAGAAGAAGAUGAAAAAGAAGGAGGAAGAAAGACAAAAAGAAGGAAAGAAAGAGAGAUGAAAUUUAUUUGUUUAAGUCACCCAAACUAAAAUAUGUUAUUUUAUUGAGAUGAGUUGACUAAUAAACUUCAGUUUUAACACUUCUAUUUAAAAAAAAAAUUAUGA